GACGAACGCUGGCGGCGUGCCUAAUACAUGCAAGUCGAACGCUUCUUUCCUCCCGAGUGCUUGCACUCAAUUGGAAAGAGGAGUGGCGGACGGGUGAGUAACACGUGGGUAACCUACCCAUCAGAGGGGGAUGACACUUGGAAACAGGUGCUAAUACCGCAUAACAGUUUAUGCCGCAUGGCAUAAGAGUGAAAGGCGCUUUCGGGUGUCGCUGAUGGAUGGACCCGCGGUGCAUUAGCUAGUUGGUGAGGUAACGGCUCACCAAGGCCACGAUGCAUAGCCGACCUGAGAGGGUGAUCGGCCACACUGGGACUGAGACACGGCCCAGACUCCUACGGGAGGCAGCAGUAGGGAAUCUUCGGCAAUGGACGAAAGUCUGACCGAGCAACGCCGCGUGAGUGAAGAAGGUUUACGGAUCGUAAAACUCUGUUGUUAGAGAAGAACAAGGACGUUAGUAACUGAACGUCCCCUGACGGUAUCUAACCAGAAAGCCACGGCUAACUACGUG
rnacentral:rRNA from 1 species